UACAGAGGUCUCAAGCGUUGUUCGGAUUCAUUGGGCGUAAAGGGUGCGUAGGCGGCGCGGUAAGUCGGGGUGUGAAAUCUCGGGGCUUAACUCCGAAACUGCAUUCGAUACUACCGUGCUUGAGGACUGGAGAGGAGACUGGAAUUUACGGUGUAGCGGUGAAAAUGCGUAGAUAUCGUAAGGAAGACCAGUGGCGAAGGCGGGUCUCUGGACAGUUCCUGACGCUGAGGCACGAAGGCCAGGGGAGCAAACGGG
rnacentral:rRNA from 1 species